CGUCCUCCUCGCUUUUCCCCACCGUGAGGGCGUCCCGGAUGUAUUCAAUGUCUUCUUUGCUUGUCAACUGGGGCAUUCCCGUCAUCAGCAUCAUGGAGAAGAGGAUGAUGAGCAGGUUUGUGUGAUGGCGGAGAGCUAGGCGCCAUCCUGUGACCAGAGGCCCCUUAGCAGCCUUGGAACACAACAGCUUCGAGAAUCCCGGAUCCUCUACAUGUUUAUGAAGACCUUGAAGUCAGCUCUUAGCCCACACCCAUGCUCCGGAAUGCGGCACUUUGGUUACAGCAGAUUUCUUUUUUCCUAAGGGCUGUGCUUAAAAGCUACAUUAAAAUAUCUUUAAUUAACUUCAA